CCCACAGUGCUCAUUCUGUCUUUUUGGCGGCUUCAUCCUUACAGUACGAAACACAGGUGAAAGUUCUGCUAAAUCUCUUUGCGGGAACCUUACGUCGUGUAGCUUUGGAGAAAAACGAGCCUGCUUACUGACGGAUGGCGUAAAAUCCCCUCCGAAGUGCAUACAAGCCCGAGCCAAAUGUGAGGGUGCCUGGAUAGGCUACUGCACGCCCCCUGAUGUUCCCAUCUGCAAUGACGACCACACUGAGUGCUUAUGCAGCUGUGG